CCUACGGGAGGCAGCAGUGAGGAAUAUUGGUCAAUGGGCGAGAGCCUGAACCAGCCACGUCGCGUGAGGGAGUACUGCCCUCUGGGUUGUAACCCUCUUUUGUCGGGGCGCAAAAGCCGGACGUGUCCGGCUGUGAGAGUACCCCAAGCAAAAGCAUCGGCUAACUCCGUGCCAGCAGCCGCGGUAAUACGUAGGAUGCGACCGUUAUCCGGAUUUGUGGGGUUAAAGGGGUGCGCAGGCGGUAUGUUAAGUCAGCGGUCACAUCGUGGGGCUCAACCCCAUCCAGCCGUUGAAACUGGGGAUCUAGAGUGUGCGAGAGGUAGGCGGAAUGCGGGGUGUAGCGGUGAAAUGCAUAGAUAUACCGCAGAACCCCGAUUGCGAAGGCAGCAUACCGGUGCACAACUGACGCUCAGGCGCGAAAGCGUGGGUAUCGAACAGGAUUAGAUACCCCAGUAGUC
rnacentral:rRNA from 1 species